GCUACCUGCAGUCGAGCGCACCUUCGGGUGAUCGGCGCACGGGUUAGUAACGCGUGGGAACAUACCCUUUUCUACGGAAUAGCCUCUUGGAGACGAUGAGUAAUACCUUAUACGCCCUUCGGGGGAAAGAUUUUUCGGUAAAGGAUCGGCCCGCGUUAGAUUAGAUAGUUGGUGGGGUAAUGGCCUACCAAGUCUACGAUCUAUAGCUGGUUUUAGAGGAUGAUCAGCAACACUGGGACUGAGACACGGCCCAGACUCCUACGGGAGGCAGCA
rnacentral:rRNA from 1 species